rnacentral:rRNA from 1 species
CUCGGGUGACGAGCGGCGGACGGGUGAGUAAUGUCUGGGAAACUGCCUGAUGGAGGGGGAUAACUACUGGAAACGGUAGCUAAUACCGCAUAACGUCGCAAGACCAAAGUGGGGGACCUUCGGGCCUCAUGCCAUCAGAUGUGCCCAGAUGGGAUUAGCUAGUAGGUGGGGUAACGGCUCACCUAGGCGACGAUCCCUAGCUGGUCUGAGAGGAUGACCAGCCACACUGGAACUGAGACACGGUCCAGACUCCUACGGGAGGCAGCAGUGGGGAAUAUUGCACAAUGGGCGCAAGCCUGAUGCAGCCAUGCCGCGUGUGUGAAGAAGGCCUUCGGGUUGUAAAGCACUUUCAGCGGGGAGGAAGGCGAUAAGGUUAAUAACCUUGUCGAUUGACGUUACCCGCAGAAGAAGCACCGGCUAACUCCGUGCCAGCAGCCGCGGUAAUACGGAGGGUGCAAGCGUUAAUCGGAAUUACUGGGCGUAAAGCGCACGCAGGCGGUCUGUCAAGUCGGAUGUGAAAUCCCCGGGCUCAACCUGGGAACUGCAUUCGAAACUGGCAGGCUAGAGUCUUGUAGAGGGGGGUAGAAUUCCAGGUGUAGCGGUGAAAUGCGUAGAGAUCUGGAGGAAUACCGGUGGCGAAGGCGGCCCCCUGGACAAAGACUGACGCUCAGGUGCGAAAGCGUGGGGAGCAAACAGGAUUAGAUACCCUGGUAGUCCACGCCGUAAACGAUGUCGAUUUGGAGGUUGUGCCCUUGAGGCGUGGCUUCCGGAGCUAACGCGUUAAAUCGACCGCCUGGGGAGUACGGCCGCAAGGUUAAAACUCAAAUGAAUUGACGGGGGCCCGCACAAGCGGUGGAGCAUGUGGUUUAAUUCGAUGCAACGCGAAGAACCUUACCUGGUCUUGACAUCCACAGAACUUUCCAGAGAUGGAUUGGUGCCUUCGGGAACUGUGAGACAGGUGCUGCAUGGCUGUCGUCAGCUCGUGUUGUGAAAUGUUGGGUUAAGUCCCGCAACGAGCGCAACCCUUAUCCUUUGUUGCCAGCGGUUAGGCCGGGAACUCAAAGGAGACUGCCAGUGAUAAACUGGAGGAAGGUGGGGAUGACGUCAAGUCAUCAUGGCCCUUACGACCAGGGCUACACACGUGCUACAAUGGCAUAUACAAAGAGAAGCGACCUCGCGAGAGCAAGCGGACCUCAUAAAGUAUGUCGUAGUCCGGAUUGGAGUCUGCAACUCGACUCCAUGAAGUCGGAAUCGCUAGUAAUCGUAGAUCAGAAUGCUACGGUGAAUACGUUCCCGGGCCUUGUACACACCGCCCGUCACACCAUGGGAGUGGGUUGCAAAAGAAGUAGGUAGCUUAACCUUCGGGAGGG